rfam:Oesophagostomum dentatum strain OD-Hann O_dentatum-1.0_Cont15606.2, whole genome shotgun sequence.
GGUUUUAACCCAGUAUCACAAGGUACUAAGGGUGUCUGACCUGCCUGUUGGCUGAGUCACAAACCUUAAUUUUUGGAUCGCUUUUCCGGGGUAUCCGGAAGGGCAGC